GCCGGGCGUUGUGGCGUGCGCCUGUAAUCCAGUUACUUGGAGGCUUGGGUUGGAGGACGGUGUGAGAUUGGGAGCUCUGUGGCGCUCUGUCCUAUGUCGAUCGGGCGUCCGCGCUAAGCUCGGCGUCAAUAUGGGCAUUC
rnacentral:SRP_RNA from 1 species